rnacentral:tRNA from 1 species
GCCUGGGUGGCUCAGUGGGUUAAAGCUUCUGCCUUCGGCACAGGUCAUGUUCCCAGGGUCCUGGGAUCGAGCCCCACCUCGGGCU